CCUACGGGAGGCAGCAGUGAGGAAUAUUGGUCAAUGGGCUUACGCCUGAACCAGCCAAGUCGCGUGAGGGAAGACUGCCCUAUGGGUUGUAAACCUCUUUUGUCAGGGAGCAACGCCGGCUACGUGUAGCCGGACUGAGAGUACCUGAAGAAAAAGCAUCGGCUAACUCCGUGCCAGCAGCCGCGGUAAUACGGAGGAUGCGAGCGUUAUCCGGAUUUAUUGGGUUUAAAGGGUGCGUAGGCGGAAUGCCAAGUCAGCGGUAAAAUCGCGGGGCUCAACCUCGCUCCGCCGUUGAAACUGGCGUUCUUGAGUGGGCGAGAAGUAUGCGGAAUGCGUGGUGUAGCGGUGAAAUGCAUAGAUAUCACACAGAACUCCGAUUGCGAAGGCAGCAUACCGGCGCUCAACUGACGCUGAGGCACGAAAGCGUGGGGAUCGAACAGGAUUAGAUACCCGAGUAGUC
rnacentral:rRNA from 1 species